rnacentral:misc_RNA from 1 species
GAUGAAGAACGUAGCGAAAUGCGAUACGUAAUGUGAAUUGCAGAUUUUAGUGAAUCAUCGAAUCUUUGAACGCACAUUGCGCCCGCCAGUAUUCUGGCGGGCAUGCCUGUUCGAGCGUCAUUUCAACCAUCAAGCCUUCGCUUGUGUUGGGGCCCCGCGGCUGCCGCGGCCCCCUAAAUCCAGUGGCGGGCUCGUCGUCGUACCGAGCGCAGUAGACAUCCUCGCUCCGGGAACCCGACGGGUGCCGGCCGUGAAACCCCCCCCAUCAAGGUUGACCUCGGAUCAGGUAGGAAUACCCGCUGAACUUAAGCAUAUCAAUAAGCGGAGG